rnacentral:rRNA from 1 species
GGUUGUAAAGCACUUUAAGCGAGGAGGAGGCUACUAGUAUUAAUACUACUGGAUAGUGGACGUUACUCGCAGAAUAAGCACCGGCUAACUCUGUGCCAGCAGCCGCGGUAAUACAGAGGGUGCGAGCGUUAAUCGGAUUUACUGGGCGUAAAGCGUGCGUAGGCGGCUUUUUAAGUCGGAUGUGAAAUCCCCGAGCUUAACUUGGGAAUUGCAUUCGAUACUGGGAAGCUAGAGUAUGGGAGAGGAUGGUAGAAUUCCAGGUGUAGCGGUGAAAUGCGUAGAGAUCUGGAGGAAUACCGAUGGCGAAGGCAGCCAUCUGGCCUAAUACUGACGCUGAGGUACGAAAGCAUGGGGAGCAAACAGGAUUAGAUACCCUGGUAGUCCAUGCCGUAAACGAUGUCUACUAGCCGUUGGGGCCUUUGAGGCUUUAGUGGCGCAGCUAACGCGAUAAGUAGACCGCCUGGGGAGUACGGUCGCAAGACUAAAACUCAAAUGAAUUGACGGGGGCCCGCACAAGCGGUGGAGCAUGUGGUUUAAUUCGAUGCAACGCGAAGAACCUUACCUGGUCUUGACAUACUAGAA